GGGUGUGUAGUAUAGUUGGUUAUUGCGCCCGCUUCGCAUACCGAAGAUGCGGGAGGUCCGGCGUUCGACUCGCCGCACAUCCA